GGUGUUGAUAAUAUAAAACGUUUGGGUUAAACCCAAACAAAAUAAUUCUUAGAAUUUUAUUAUUUUUUUCCUAUAUAUUGAAAAUGUUUGAAAAUCUUAGUAUAAAUAUAGGUUUCCUUUAAUGUUUCAAUAUCAUUUAACACGAUGAAAUUGUACGCUUACUUUGGUUUUGUUUUGGCCUUAAUAGCCUUAGCUAUGGGCUAUCCUAAUCCUGAACCUCAACCAAAUCCUCUUCCCUUGGGCGGUGGAGGUGGCGGAGGCGGCGGUGGUGGUGGCAAGUAAUUCACCUACUCCAUGAAAAAUUUCCUUGUAUUAUGAAAAAUAAAUGAUUAUACAAAAUAAAAUAUAUUUUUUUCUUUUUCUUAUCAAAA